GGCAGGGACUGUAUCUUUCAUAAAUGUCCAUCGCCUGGUCUACAGUACAAAGUGAGGUUGAUGUAAGAUGUCUUGCACCAACCUAGUUGUGCAUAUGUCCACACUUAAAUUUGUCUCCCACCAGUAUAAAAUCUCCAUUACGCCAACAUAGUAACACCUUCUGCCCAAGCGUUGUCGAGCCAUGGUCGGUGUACUGAGGUUGACACAGUGCAAAUGUAGACACUGCAUUGCCUAUGUUAACCCUAACAGUCCUCCAGCAGCUGUCCCACAAAGCCCCACACUGACUGUUCUGGUCUUGGUUGUGAACUCCAUUGCCUGAGACUCACAGAGACUGGAAGCCGCACCCUUUCUUUAAAACCCUGUGAAUUUCUGAUAUGCUGUUUCCAGAUUGUCCAUUGUGGCAAGCACCCGUAGCAGUUCUCCAUUGUUGUGUGCAACUGCCCAGCUGACCAUGUUGGCUACAUGCUCCAGGUGUGUUCCAUCCUGGAGUAGACAGGAGUUUUUGGAACUCCUGGGCCUGUGGGGAAAAGAAGUUGAUAGGCACAGCUAUGGACCAGCCAUAGAAAUAUGGCCAUCUAUGAACAGAUUGCCCAGGGGAUGCAGGAGAAGGGUUAUGACAGGGACCAGCAGCAGAGCUGUGUGAAAGCAAAGGAACUCCUGCAGGCAUAUCAGAAGGCCAGAGUGUCCAACAGUCAAUCUGAUGCUGAGCUGCAGCCCUGCUGCUUUUACAAAGAGCUGUGUGCCAGGCUUGGUGGAGACCCCCCACCAACACCCCACACAGACCUCCAUGGAUACCUCUGAAGAGCCUGCAUCACUGGCCCAUGGUGUGAACAGCAAGGAUGAGGAGGAGGAGGUGAAGGAGAAAUAGGAGAAGGAUGGGGGACAUGUGACCGGGAGGUCUAGCUAUGACACUAGUUUGGACCUGUUUGAGACUCCAACACAGUCCAUCAAUCCCAGCAGUCGAGCACCACAAAACCGAUUGAGGGGAAGGAUCCUCAGUUGCUGCUGUUGUGGCCUUGAGGAGUUCCCCUUCCACACCCACAGAAUGCCUGAGCCUGAUAAGGAUGGAAAAGAAGCUCAGAAUGACAUGUUCAGUGAGAUCCUGCAAGGCAGUGCUGCAUCAGACCAUGAACAGAGGGCCUGAAGCAUGAAUACUGCAGGCUGUAUAGAGAAAAAAAGAGCAGCAACAAGAGAAAGGACCAAGAAUCCCAGCAGAAAAAGGAGGGGAAAGGACAUAAUGGAGCUCCUCUGGUAGCAAACGUACAGAUUCAACAAUCCUGGUCUCAUCUCCCUUUGCAGUCCAUGGAGAAUUCCAUUACAGCACCUCCCUACACACACAUACAUCAACUGUGGUUCUCACAGCAUUUUUUGAAGUGUUUUUAUCACUCAAUAGAGAAGUGAGUAUGGAGAAGGUUGCAUGCUGGGAACCUGACUCCUUACUCCCAGUCACCCCUGUGUGACUCAUUUCUGCAACACCCUGCAUUGCCAUAACUUCCCAAAAGACAGAGUGCUGGAUGGUGGCAAGUUGCACACUGGAAUACCUAGCAAUGAUGCACUACACUGUGCACAUUGAAACGAGCACUCCUGGUGAGUAUGUGCAGUGCCAAAGUAUGCAAGUGCACAAGUGAUAUACUAACUGCAUCGGCUUCAUGCUGAUCAAACUUCCAUCAGCAAAAGUUUGUAGUGUAGAUGUGCCCAAAGGUAGCAAUAGGCAUACAUUCUAGUGCAGUCUGAGCAUCACUGUUUUUAUCAUCUCACCUUACCUAGAGCAGUUCCAGAGGAUACAGCAGUAGAAAUACUGGUGGCUGGCCUGCAGAAGUGUUUCUAUAGGUAGCAGUGGUGCAAGACCUGGGAUGGGAGAACUCCCCAUCAUUUUCACAGAGGAGACCUCUAUAGUCUCCACUUAAAAAGAAUGGAGAGAGCAUUUACCACUACAAUUAGUUAAUGUUCAUUACAAUGCCCCCAUUUUCAUAUAUACUGAAGAGUAGCAAUUGUCCAGCCCCUUUGCCAAUUAACGUAUGUCUGUAAAAGUGCCACUGGAGGGCUGCAACAAAAUAACCCAAGGAGCAGGUUAAAACAGCAUCUCUUUUCAGGUUGCUUAGGUACAGCCCUUAACAGACAAUCUUGUUUAACAGGUGAAUAGAAAUUCCCAUCAGACAAAGCUGAGAUGAUUUCCCAGAUAAGACCAAGUCACCUUAAAAUAGUUGAGCUGCCCCCUCCACAGCUGGAAUCCUUAAAGGCAGUGGUUUCUGUAGUGCAAACAGAAUGUAAAAGAAACAGUGCCAUAGAUCCUGUCUACACUGGGCCUGGAACCACAGCAGAAAGCAGGAGUUCAAGCUCUAGUUUUCAAACCCAUGGUUCCAAGUCCUAAAGUGUAAUCAAAAGCUAAUAUGUAACUAGAAUUGAAGCAGAGAGUUACAUCAGUCAUGUCUGAAGGGACUGGGAAUCUCCAUUCAGGUGUUAAACGAGACUCCCUGAUAAUUGUUGCUCUACCCCAGGAAGUGACCUGAAAAAAGAUACUGUUUAACUUGUUUUUCAGUUUUCUUAGUUCUAACUGGCAUUUUCACAGGAGUGUGCUGAUUGGCUAUAGGGCUAGACUUUCGCUAUACUUUAAUUGAUUUGAAAAGAGUUUUAAUACACUUUAGCUAACUGAAGCAGUGAGUUAUUUUUAAGGCCUUAUUAAAUGGAACCAUUGGUGGCUAGAGAACAUUUACACAUUAAAAAAAAAAGUUUUAACAUAGUUGCUACCUAGCCAAGCUGUCAGCAAAAUCUAUUAUUUAUCAGUACUGUAAUCAUCACAACAGCUUUCUCCUGUGGACAAGGCCUAUGCAUAUGCCGAGACAACAGGUAGAGAGGACAACAAAACAAAACAGAAGGGUGGAUAGCGAAGAGAUUGUGAGUUUGGUCUAAUAAUGAUUACCACUGAGAGCACACCAAACACCUAGCUAUCUCACUUUAUUCAGUUUAUCCCACCUUUACUUUCUUUCUCUUUUUGAAGCCAGCGGGGCUAGUUAUGUACUUAAACUUUUAACACAGCAUUCAGAUGCUUUGCUCAACUGGGGCCAGAUAGUGCCUAAUUUUGACUUUGGAUGUGUCUGUGUGACUCUUUAUAGAAGUUAAUGGGAACUGCAUUUACACAGUGGAUCAAUGGUAGAAUUUGGCCCAGAGUUUGCAAAACAGUUUUUCUGGAGGAAUUUUGUUUUAGAAUCAUUGAUUAUUGGAGUUGAAGGGACCUCAGGAGGACCUGUACUCUAACUUGCUGCUUAAAGCAGGUCUAAUCCCCAGACAGAUUUUUGCCCCAGAUCCCUAACUGACCCCAUCAAGGAUUGA